rnacentral:rRNA from 1 species
AAUAGAUACCCUGGUAGUCCACGCCGUAAACGAUGAGUGCUAAGUGUUGGAGGGUUUCCGCCCUUCAGUGCUGCAGCUAACGCAUUAAGCACUCCGCCUGGGGAGUACGGUCGCAAGACUGAAACUCAAAGGAAUUGACGGGGGCCCGCACAAGCGGUGGAGCAUGUGGUUUAAUUCGAAGCAACGCGAAGAACCUUACCAGGUCUUGACAUCUCCUGACCGCCUUGGAGACAGGGUCUUCCCUUCGGGGACAGGAUGACAGGUGGUGCAUGGUUGUCGUCAGCUCGUGUCGUGAGAUGUUGGGUUAAGUCCCGCAACGAGCGCAACCCUUGGUUCUAGUUGCCAGCAUUCAGUUGGGCACUCUAGAGCGACUGCCGGCGACAAGUCGGAGGAAGGUGGGGAUGACGUCAAAUCAUCAUGCCCCUUAUGACCUGGGCUACACACGUGCUACAAUGGAUGGUACAAAGGGCAGCGAAGCGGCGACGCAUGAGCGAAUCCCAAGAAAACCAUUCUCAGUUC